rnacentral:misc_RNA from 1 species
GAUGAAGAACGCAGCGAAAUGCGAUAAGUAGUGUGAAUUGCAGAAUUCAGUGAAUCAUCGAAUCUUUGAACGCACAUUGCGCCCCUUGGUAUCCCGAGGGGCAUGCCUGUUCGAGCGUCAUUUCACCACUCAAGCCUGGCUUGGUGUUGGGCGACGUCCCCUUUGGGGACGCGCCUCGAAACGCUCGGCGGCGUGGCACCGGCUUUAAGCGUAGCAGAAUCUUUCGCUUUGGAAGUCGGGGCCCCGUCUGCCGGAAGACCUACUCGCAAGGUUGACCUCGGAUCAGGCAGGGAUACCCGCUGAACUUAAGCAUAUCAUAAGCGGAGGA